rnacentral:rRNA from 1 species
AUUGAACGCUGGCGGCAGGCUUAACACAUGCAAGUCGAGCGGGGUGAUGGUGCUUGCACUAUCACUUAGCGGCGGACGGGUGAGUAAUGCUUAGGAAUCUGCCUAUUAGUGGGGGACAACAUCUCGAAAGGGAUGCUAAUACCGCAUACGUCCUACGGGAGAAAGCAGGGGAUCUUUAUGACCUUGCGCUAAUAGAUGAGCCUAAGUCGGAUUAGCUAGUUGGUGGGGUAAAGGCCUACCAAGGCGACGAUCUGUAGCGGGUCUGAGAGGAUGAUCCGCCACACUGGGACUGAGACAUGGCCCAGACUCCUACGGAGGCAGCAGUGGGGAAUAUUGGACAAUGGGGGGAACCCUGAUCCAGCCAUGCCGCGUGUGUGAAGAAGGCCUUAUGGUUGUAAAGCACUUUAAGCGAGGAGGAGGCUCUUUUGGUUAAUACCCAGAAUGAGUGGACGUUACUCGCAGAAUAAGCACCGGCUAACUCUGUGCCAGCAGCCGCCGUAA